rnacentral:rRNA from 1 species
GACGAACGCUGGAGGCGUGCUUAACACAUGCAAGUCGAACGGAAAGGCCCUGCUUUUGUGGGGUGCUCGAGUGGCGAACGGGUGAGUAACACGUGAGUAACCUGCCCUUGACUUUGGGAUAACUUCAGGAAACUGGGGCUAAUACCGGAUAGGAGCUCCUGCUGCAUGGUGGGGGUUGGAAAGUUUCGGCGGUUGGGGAUGGACUCGCGGCUUAUCAGCUUGUUGGUGGGGUAGUGGCUUACCAAGGCUUUGACGGGUAGCCGGCCUGAGAGGGUGACCGGCCACAUUGGGACUGAGAUACGGCCCAGACUCCUACGGGAGGCAGCAGUGGGGAAUAUUGCACAAUGGGCGGAAGCCUGAUGCAGCAACGCCGCGUGCGGGAUGACGGCCUUCGGGUUGUAAACCGCUUUCGCCUGUGACGAAGCGUGGGUGACGGUAAUGGGUAAAGAAGCACCGGCUAACUACGUG